rnacentral:rRNA from 1 species
AUUGAACGCUGGCGGCAUGCCUUACACAUGCAAGUCGAACGGCAGCGGGCCUUCGGGUGCCGGCGAGUGGCGAACGGGUGAGUAAUGCAUCGGAACGUGCCAUUGAGUGGGGGAUAACGUAGCGAAAGUUGCGCUAAUACCGCAUAUUCUGUGAGCAGGAAAGCAGGGGACCGCAAGGCCUUGCGCUCUUUGAGCGGCCGAUGUCAGAUUAGCUAGUUGGUGAGGUAAAGGGCUUACCAAGGCGACGAUCUGUAGCGGGUCUGAGAGGAUGAUCCGCCACACUGGAACUGAGACACGGUCCAGACUCCUACGGGAGGCAGCAGUGGGGAAUUUUGGACAAUGGGGGCAACCCUGAUCCAGCCAUGCCGCGUGAGUGAAGAAGGCCUUCGGGUUCGGU